GCUCCCGUAGCCCAACGGCAGAGGCAGCGGACUUAAAAUCCGCAUAGUGUGAGUUCAAAUCUCACCGAGAGCA
rnacentral:tRNA from 1 species